GCUUUUCUGUUUACAGGCAGUGGGAGGGAAAAGGCAGAAUCAUAAGGGCGGCAAAAAGCAGCUUUUAAAGAAAGAGUUGUGGCAAUUGCCAGAAAGAGAGAGAGCAAGGCUUCUGCUUACUAAAGAGAGUGGGGUGGCAAGAAAGGGUGACCUUGGAAAAAUACCCUUUUCCUCUGAAAUACAACACUCCCUACGACCUUACAGAAAAGCUCUCAGUGUCAUGGGCCCUAACCUGGGCUGAUGCACGCGUUCCAACCAAGUUGGUGUUUUGGCCACGACUUUGGCUCAUAGCCUCUUGGUCCCUGUUGCUGGGCGCCAUAUGUGGUGGACUCCAGACAGCAGAGCCCGCCUGUUGUGACUGAAAAUGAGAAUAAAUGCGCAGGAUACAGCAAUCCUGUGGAGUAAAGGGGGACAGCAAGACCACUCUCUCAAGAGGAGAGCACACCAACCCUUGCCUAGAACAGCUUUUAUUAUUUUUCUCAGGUCUUACAUCAAAGAAGAAUUUAUUAUCUAUUACAUAGAAUAUUAUUGUCUACAUGUUAGGUACAAUCAAGGGAAU